rnacentral:hammerhead_ribozyme from 2 species
AAGCGAAACCAUCCCGAGCGACUGCUCGGGAUGGUCUGCCCGGCGUGGUGGCCGGGCACUGAUGAGCAGCCGACC